GGAGUAGAUGAGUGCUGGUGUGCUCGCCGGUCUUCAAAACCGUGUUGUGGUGCUAAGACCACCAUGGGUGGGUUCGAUUCCCACAUAUUCC
rnacentral:tRNA from 1 species